rnacentral:lncRNA from 8 species
GUGUUAGUGGAUUACCAGGAAAGGCAUAAACAGUAAACUUUACCCCUCCUCUUAAUGAUCAUAUGAUGCUGGCCAAACACAAUCUGCUUGGCGAGGAAGAAAGGAGGAGGACAACUAGCUUACUCCCUUUACCUGACAGAAAGAAGGAAAGAACGACAGAAGGAGAGAAAGAGAGAGUUGCUUUGAAGGCAUAGGAAUAGACCAAGAACAGACAACAGAAGACAUCAGGAGCCUACAAGUACAAAGGAUUUUAAAAAGGGGGAGCAUGACUACUAUGCAAGUGAUGGUGCAUGGACCAAAGAAACAUUUGAGAGACAAUUCUAAUGAACAGCUCACUUUGGAUAGAGGAGUGGACAAUACUGCGAGUCCCCCUAAAAAACUGUCCCACUCUAUUGAGGAGAUCCUGAAGAAGCCAUCCAGAGUGGGAGAAGAGAGGCAAGAGGAGCUAGGUGGAUGAAGGAACUUUUCAACACAGGGUGCUGCCACAGCAUGUGCACAUUGUCACUGACUGGAGAGGUGACCACAACACAGAGGUCACAAGACUACACCCUGGAGAGUGCAAUAUUGACCGCAUCUCCCAAGACCACAGUGGGGACUCCAGCAGCCACAGUAGUGGCUCCUGUAAAGAUAGUAUUCAGGACAGAGCGGGGAGAGAGGAGGGCCAGGACCAAGGCCGAAUCCAGUGGGAGAGGAUCAGCUGCCAAGCUCAUCAUGGUGAGAUUUAGCACAAGUCUUACAGUCAAUAUUGCUGGAAUCAAGGAGCGGAAUUAUAUCUGAGGAUGAACGACAUUAUAAAAAAGGGGGUUUUGAUUAUGAUGAUGAUAAGAAUGAGGAGGACGAGGAUGGAUGAUGAUGAUGAUAAUGGUCAUUUUGACGAUGAUACAGACUCUUUUGCUUGUGUUUGGUGUGCACAGUGCAGAGGAGGAGAAGGAAGACCUGGACCAUCUUCACUCCAGGUCAGGUGGAGAAGGAAGACCCGGACCAGCUUCACUCCAGGUCAGGAGGAGAAGGAAGACCCGGACCAGCUUCACUCCAGGUCAGGAGGAGAAGGAAGACCCGGACCAGCUUCACUCCAGGUCAGGUGGAGGAGCUGGAGAAGGUGUUCUUGGAGACCCACUAUCCUGAUGUCCACAUCCGGGACACACUUGCCUCUCAUCUGCAGCUCACCGAGGGAAGAGUACAGAUUUGGUUCCAGAACCACAGAGCCAAAUGGAGGUAGACUGAGAUGCUAAGGGACGUGGAAAUGAUGGCCAGAGACCAGACCCCUAUAUGUACAUUCAAACCUGGGCUUCUUUAUAGUGAGGUGGGUAUAAUAUAGUUUUAAUCAAAACCAGCAAGUGUAUAAUUACAUUGCAUAGGCAUCGAAACAAACUAUUAAAUACAAUAUGUGCAGUUUUAGAAUACUUGUAUUACCUGUCAGAUACAGAUCUGCCAGAUAAGGAUACAGAUACUCAGUAUACAGUGGAGGCUGCUGAGGGGAGGACGACUCAUAGUAAUUGUGUACAGUCGUGGCCAGAAGUUUUGAGAAUGACACAAAUAUACAUUUUCACAAAGUUUGCUGCUUCAGUGUCUUUAGAUAUUUUUGUCAGAUGUUACUAUGGAAUACUGAAGUAUAAUUACAAGCAUUUCAGAAGUGUCAAAGGCUUUUAUUGUCAAUUACAUGAAGUUGAUGCAAAGAGUCAAUAUUUGCAGUGUUGACCCUUCUUUUUCAAGACAUCUGCAAUCCACCCUGGCAUGCUGUCAAUUAACUUCUGGGCCACAUCCUGACUGAUGGCAGCCCAUUCUUGCAUAAUCAAUGCUUGGAGUUUGUCAGAAUUUGUGGGCUUUUGUUUGUCCACCCGCCUCCUGAGGAUUGACCACAAGUUCUCAAUGGGAUUAAGGUCUGGGGAGUUUCCUGGCCAUGGACCCAAAAUAUCGAUGUUUUGUUCCCCGAGACACUUAGUUAUCACUUUUGCCUUAUGGCAAGGUGCUCCAUCAUGCUGGAAAAGGCAUUGUUUGUCACCAAACUGUUCCUGAAUGGUUGGGAGAAGUUGCUCUCGGAGGAUGUGUUGGUACCAUUCUUUAUUCAUGGCUGUGUUCUUAGGCAAGUCUUCGCCUCACUGUGUGUGCAGAUGCACUCACACCUGCCUGCUGCCAUUCCUGAGCAAGCUCUGUACUGGUGGUGCCCCGAUCCUGCAGCUGAAUCAACUUUAGGAGACAGUCCUGGCGCUUGCAGGACUUUCUUGGGCGCCCUGAAGCCUUCUUCACGACAGUUGAACCGCUCUCCUUGAAGUUCUUGAUGAUCCGAUAAAUUGUUGAUUUAUGUGCAAUCUUACUGGCAGCAAUAUCCUUGCCUGUGAAGCCCUUUUUGUGCAAAGCAAUGAUGACGGCAUGUGUUUCCUUGCAGGUAACCAUGGUUGGCAGAGGAAGAACAAUGAUUCCAAGCACCACCCUCCUUUUGAAGCUUCCGGUCUGUUAUUCGAACUCAAUCAGCAUGACAGAGUGAUCUCCAGCCUUGUCCUUGUCAACACUCACACCUGUGUUAACAAGAGAAUCACUGACAUGAUGUCAGCUGGUCCUUGUGUGGCAGGUCCGAAAUGCAGUGGAAAUGUUUUUGGGGGAUUCAGUUCAUUCGCAUGGUAAAGAGGGACUUUGCAAUUAAUUGCAAUUCAUCUGAUCACUCUUCAUAACAUUCUGGAGUAUAUGCAAAUUGCCAUCAUUCAAACUGAGGCAGCAGACUUUGUGAAAAUUAAUAUUUGUGUCAUUCUCAAAACUUUUGACCACGACUGUAUAUGUGAUUGUAUAAGACGUGAGUCAUGCUUGAGACAGUUGACAAAAACCUCAAUAAAAUGAUCCUGUAAUUUGUUUCCAUGACAAAACAGCGUGAAGAGGCUAUCUCUCUGUUUCCGUUGAAUCCUUGCUCACUACAGUACGGGCCAUACCAACUACUAGAAAAUCUUUACCCAGGGGUAUUGCCGUUCCAACCUUUUCUACCUGUGUUGCCACACCUGCAUCACCAAGCUCUAUGCUCCCCCUGGACCCGGCAUUAAUUUCCCAUCCCAAUAGUCACUUUCAGUUGACACAAUGAACACUAAAGAAAUGUAUCUUCAAAAGCUUUGUAAAUAAGAUGUAUCUGUAUGUUGUCAUCCGUGUCCGUGAUGAGGGAAUCAUGGUGCUGCUAUCUCAGAAGCUGUUGAAACUGAUGAAGGAAUUGAUAAUUGAGUAUUAUCUCUCACAGAUAAAACAAUAUGGCUGAGUAAAGUGAAUAACAUUUUUGUGUUUUUUUUAAUCAACUCACUCUCCACUCAU